rnacentral:rRNA from 3 species
GCCUGAUCCAGCAAUGCCGCGUGUGUGAAGAAGGCCUUCGGGUUGUAAAGCACUUUUGUCCGGAAAGAAAUCCUUGGCUCUAAUACAGUCGGGGGAUGACGGUACCGGAAGAAUAAGCACCGGCUAACUACGUGCCAGCAGCCGCGGUAAUACGUAGGGUGCGAGCGUUAAUCGGAAUUACUGGGCGUAAAGCGUGCGCAGGCGGUUUGCUAAGACCGAUGUGAAAUCCCCGGGCUCAACCUGGGAACUGCAUUGGUGACUGGCAGGCUAGAGUAUGGCAGAGGGGGGUAGAAUUCCACGUGUAGCAGUGAAAUGCGUAGAGAUGUGGAGGAAUACCGAUGGCGAAGGCAGCCCCCUGGGCCAAUACUGACGCUCAUGCACGAAAGCGUGGGGAGCAAACAGGAUUAGAUACCCUGGUAGUCCACGCCCUAAACGAUGUCAACUAGUUGUUGGGGAUUCAUUUCCUUAGUAACGUAGCUAACGCGUGAAGUUGACCGCCUGGGGAGUACGGUCGCAAGAUUAAAACUCAAAGGAAUUGACGGGGACCCGCACAAGCGGUGGAUGAUGUGGAUUAAUUCGAUGCAACGCGAAAAACCUUACCUACCCUUGACAUGGUCGGAAUCCUGCUGAG